rnacentral:rRNA from 1 species
AGCGAACGCUGGCGGUAGGCCUAACACAUGCAAGUCGAACGGCAGCACAGUAAGAGCUUGCUCUUACGGGUGGCGAGUGGCGGACGGGUGAGGAAUACAUCGGAAUCUACUUUUUCGUGGGGGAUAACGUAGGGAAACUUACGCUAAUACCGCAUACGACCUACGGGUGAAAGCAGGGGAUCUUCGGGCCUUGCGCGAUUGAAUGAGCCGAUGUCGGAUUAGCUAGUUGGCGGGGUAAAGGCCCACCAAGGCGACGAUCCGUAGCUGGUCUGAGAGGAUGAUCAGCCACACUGGAACUGAGACACGGUCCAGACUCCUACGGGAGGCAGCAGUGGGGAAUAUUGGACAAUGGGCGCAAGCCUGAUCCAGCCAUACCGCGUGGGUGAAGAAGGCCUUCGGGUUGUAAAGCCCUUUUGUUGGGAAAGAAAAGCAGCAGGUUAAUACCCCGCUGUUCUGACGGUACCCAAAGAAUAAGCACCGGCUAACUUCGUG